GACGUAGGGGGCCAGCGUUGUUCGGAAUUACUGGGUGUAAAGGGUUCGUAGGCGGUGUGGCAAGUCGGGAGUGAAAUCUCUGGGCUCAACCCAGAGACUGCUUCCGAAACUGCUGUGCUUGAGUGUGAGAGAGGCUCGUGGAAUUGCAGGUGUAGCGGUGAAAUGCGUAGAGAUCGGGAGGAACACCAGCGGCGAAGGCGGCGACCUGGACAGUAACUGACACUCAACUACGAAAGCGUGGGGAGCAAACAGG
rnacentral:rRNA from 1 species